rnacentral:rRNA from 1 species
UAGGAUUCCCUUAGUAGCUGCGAGCGAAGAGGGAAGAGCCCAGCACUGAAUCCCGCGGUUGUAUACAGCCGCUGGGAAAUGUAGUGUUUGGGAGGAUCCGUUAUCCCGCAUUAGAGCGACGCGUCCAAGUCCUUUUUGAACGAGGCCAUCGCCCAAAGACGGUGCCAGGCCGGUAGUGGCCGUCGUCUUUUGCGGGAGGAUUUCUCCUUAGAGUCGGGUUGCUUGAGAGUGCAGCCCUAAGUGGGUGGUAAACUCCAUCUAAGGCUAAAUAUAACCACGAGACCGAUAGCGAACAAGUACCGUGAGGGAAAGUUGAAAAGAACUUUGAAGAGAGAGUUCAAUAGUACGUGAAACCGUUCAGGGGUAAACCUGAGAAACCCGAAAGUUUGAACGGAGAAAUUCAGCGUGUUUCGUGUGGUGGCUAGAAGUGGUCGUGUGACGGGUAGACGUGCGCGUCAUCCUGCUCCUUUCAUUUUUCGAACCACCUGCGUACGCGUGCACUUUUCUCCAAGUAAAACGUCGCGAUCCGUUGGGUGUCGGUGUAAGAGCUGCGGUGCUGACCUUGUGACCAUCGUUUGUCGCCUGGUGCCGUGGACUUCUCAUACCGGCUCGCUCGACGGUGUAACGGAUGGCGCGUGGCCGCGUUAUCGCGUCCUGCCCGCGGCAAGCUAACGCUCGUGUCGGUUAAUCGGACCCAGUGCCGGUGCUGAACGUGUGUUGCUGUUUGUGCGCUGUGGCUUGGACAGACCGCGUCUCGCCUAUCUGCGACGCUAUUGCUUUGGGUACUUUCAGGACCCGUCUUGAAACACGGACCAAGAAGUCUAGCGUGUACGCGAGUCAUUGGGCAUAUAUUAAACCUAAAGGCGUAAUGAAAGUGAAGAUUUGUCUAGCGCAAAUCUAGGGAAGAUGGGCGGUCAAUAUAGAUCGCUCCGCAUUCCCGGGGCGUCUCGUUCUCAUUGCGAGAUGAGGCGCACCAAGAGCGUACGCGCUGGGACCCGAAAGAUGGUGAACUAUGCCUGGUCAGGACGAAGUCAGGGGAAACCCUGAUGGAGGUCCGUAGCGAUUCUGACGUGCAAAUCGAUCGUCGGAACUGGGUAUAGGGGCGAAAGACUAAUCGAACCAUCUAGUAGCUGGUUCCCUCCGAAGUUUCCCUCAGGAUAGCUGGCGCUCGUCGUAGACGAGUCUCAUCUGGUAAAGCGAAUGAUUAGAGGCAUUGGGGUCGAAACGGCCUCAACCUAUUCUCAAACUUUAAAUGGGUGAGAUCUCCGGCUUGCUUGAUCAACGAUCGUGAAGCUGUGAGAUUUCGGAUCAGAGUGCCAAGUGGGCCAUUUUUG